rnacentral:lncRNA from 1 species
AAUUAAGUCCGUUUAAAUUAACCUUUAAAUUCUCCUUAAGUUAUUGAAUUGGAUGGGAAAGAGCAUACUACAAUUCAAGCAUUCUUCAAAAUUUUUUUACGUGAACAACACAAUAAAGAUAGAAUCAAAGAUCAUUAAGCAUUAUGAAAACUAUAAGUAUUGACGAGGCAUUCGUUACUAUGAUAAGCAUGAAACUCCUGCCAAGAAUUUAUUUAACGCGAUCGUUUAUAAGCGACCUCCACUACUUGUGAAUAUAAGUUUGUAACUAUUAGGUGAAACUCCCUUAUACUCUAGCAUCAUAUUCAUGCAUGCAAACUAAGUGUGCACUCUUAAUAAACAUACACGAAUAAGUUAUCAAUUAAGCAGUUAAACAAAUUGAAUUCACAACUUAUGAAAUCACAACUGAAGGUAAUCAAAUCAUAUUGCAAGCAUGAACAUGGUUUCGAAUUCCCCCUAGCUAAGGGGGGUUUAGUUCCUCAUACUCACAAAACAAAGAUAAACAAAUUUAGACAUUGAAAACAAAAGAAUGAAAACACCUAAAAACGCUCCAACAAUCCAACUUGAAUGGCAAGCAUGUCCAAGGGUCCUCAUUCUUUUCUUUGUUACGGCACAAGGUGUGGUUUGAUGGAUGAGUGGUAAAUUAUGGUGGUGGAUGGAUAUAGGUGAGUUAUGGUGAAGGGUGGAUGGGUGGAUUGUGUUCUCCCGGGCAAGGAAUGAAAGUGUAAGUGUAUGGAGUUGUGAGAUGUGAAUGUAGUGUCUUUUGAUGGAUCUUUUCUCCUCCCCCUUGUUAUGGUGAAAGGUGGAUGUAUUUAUAGGCUAGGGAGAGGACCACCAUCUAAUUAAGGUGGUAGUGGUGAAUGUUGUGGUAAUGAGUGGAUGUAAUAGGUGUAGUGGGUGAGUGUUUGGUAAUGAGUGGAUGUAAACGGUGUAGUGGAUGGAUGUUUGGUAAUGAGUGGAUGUAAUGGGUGUAGUGGAUGAGUGUUUGGUAAUGAGUGGAUGUAAUGGGUGUAGUGGAUGGAUGUUUGGUAAUGAGUGGAUGUAAAUGGUGUAGUGGAUGGAUGUUUAGUAAUGAGUGGAUGUAAUAGGUGUAGUGGAUGGAUGUUUAGUAAUGAGUGGAUGUAAUAGGUGUAGUGGAUGGAUGUUUGGAGUUGUAGGUCAACACACUUGCACACACACAUGCUGAUUUCUAGCCUUCUAAUCUUCAAAAACGUCCAUCCUCAUGUCUCCAUGCUUGCACUAUCCAAUCUUGGCCCAAAAAUGCUCCAAAGUGCUCCAAAUAGCACUUUGUUGCCAACUUUGUUAUUUGAACCUACAAACACACGCAAAAUAGCUUAAAGUACUAAAAUAACUAGAAUUAAACUAAGUAAAUGCCAAGAAACAAGCUCACUAAGUUGCAUAAACAUGCUCCUAUCAAAUUCCCCCACACUUAGCUUUUGCUAAUUCUCGAGCAAAACAAAAGAAACAAAACGAAACAAAACAAACAAAACACAACCUAACCUUCCAACAUUUGCCUCAGGGAUUUCCAAUGCACAUGACAUGUUAAAAAUCAUCAUUUCCAUUGAGUUUGGUUAUCUUCACACUUGAGCACAAACUUAAUCACAAUCACUACUUACUAGUUCAUAAUUAACCAAUUAAAACAAUGUUUUGAAUGUAGUAACAUGCCUUAGAGAAUUUGCUCAAUUCCUUACAAGAUACUCCCUAUUUUCACACACAUUUUCUGACUACACACCCUACACUAGUAUAUGUGAGAAGAUUAAUGUAAACACGAAAGACUAGGACUCACAUAUGUUAUAACAAAGAAAGCAAUUUUCUGGAGUUAUUAAGCAUGUUUAGAUAUGAUAUCAUGAAUGGAAUGCUACUACUUAGAUGCGAGAACCAGUGACACCAUAUGCUCAUACCAAUUUCGAACUCCACAAAUUGAAACACACAACACUCAAGAUUGAAGUCAAGGGUUGUAACAGGGCUUAGGGGUAAUGGCUAAUAAAGAAAGGAUAGGAAUAACAAACGUUCUUAAAGCGAUAGCAAGCAAAGCAAUGAAAUAGACACUUGGAAUUCACUUUAGAAUACAGAAUCAACUUUUAAAUACAAAGGGAAGAUUCAUGCAACACUUAGGGCCGAAUUCAAUGUUUUGGACCCUUUUUUUAACAAACUUUUUUCUUUUCACUCUUUUUUUUUUCUUUUCUACCCGUGCCUUAUUAAGGACUUUGGCACACACACACACAAGAAUCACUUCCCCCACACUUGCUUUCUGCAAUACAUUGAUAAAAAAUGAGUUCAUUUUAAGUCAUGCUUUACUAUGCUUCAAGAACAAGGGUAUGGAUGGUCCUAAAACUAGGUUAGGUAAGGAUAGUGUGGAUUAACAAAGAACAUAGGCUUAACAAGGCUCAACGGGGUUAAACUUAAACACAUAAUGAAAUAGGGGCACGGCAAUUUGGCUUUGGUGGUCACUACACAACUUUAUCUUGAGAAUGUGUUAUGCAAAUCAAUAGCAUGUUUUGAAUGAAAUAGGCAUAAGUUCUAGCAUUUGGAACUAAAUGAUGAAACGCCUUCUAAGUAGCAACCAAGCAAAGAAUAAUGAGAUCAUGCAACGACUUUAGAAAACAAUGAUGCACAGAUUAUUAACUCUCCAAAUAAACGUUUAGGCUCAAGUCUCACAAGGUUAUAGCAUACAUUUGAGUUCCUUCUUUCAAGCAUGUUACAAAACAGAUUUUUCCUUUAUGAUUGCAUGUGAAUUCAUAAAUUAUAACCACAACCAAGCAUACACCAAAGAGUAAAUCAAAUUUUCAUCCAUGUUUAUAACUCUCUUUAACAAUCAUGUAAUUAAAAACCAAAUCCACAUCAUUGUGUUGGAAGGUACCCUAAGACACAAAUAAACAUACAAAAACAACUCUUUUUGGGUUUUUCAAAACAAUUUUUCAAAUUUUUAUGAGAUUUUUGGAAACACUCCAAAACAGCUUAAAAACACUUAAAACAGCAAGGAACAACACUAGAAGUAAUGGGUGAUAAACUCCUACGAAUUUCAUGCAAAACAAUGGUUACCCCCCACACUUAAAUCAAACAUUGUCCUCAAUGUUUCAAGCAUAAACUCACACAAAAAACAAGCAAACAAACAAACAACGAAUAAACAUGACAAUUAUGGCAAAGUAAAAACCAGACAGUAGAGUUUAAGAACGCAAAUCUGGUUUUGGAAAUAGAUGAUCUUGUUGUCUUUCCACAGCUUUGAUUUCGAACUGGUUUGGAAUUCUGAGCGAGGAAUAUGAGAGUUCCUUGGUUUCAAAUCAGACUCCUUCUGCUGGGUUGAUUUGAUUGUGCAGUCUGCAUUCUUCUCUGCUUGUUUCUUCUGCAUGGUAGGCAGGCACGAGGUAGAGGUGUUGGUCUGUUUCUUUCUUCAAUCUUUCCAAGUGCCCACCUCUUGCUUUCUUUCUCCUUGUCCCUAGCUGAAGAUGAAUUGGCAAAUUAUCUCCACAUGCUUCGAGGUAUCAUUUUCACUUCCCUUAUCUGUUCCUCAGGCAGAUGUGGUAGACGAAGAGGAAGCAUAAAAUGAUGAAGAUGAGUACUCGAGAGCAAGGCUAGGUAAGCAAUCAGGAAGGGGUUCCAGGCAGUCGGUUCCAGAUCGAAAGAUUGAUACCAAGUGUUGGCUGAUUGCUCUCUUUCUCCUUGUCCCAAAACAACGAUAAGGAGAAUGACAGGGAGAAAACAUGAUAUGAGAUACUUUUGCUUUCAACCUUCAUGAUAUGAAAUACUUUUACUUUGGAUGAGUUGUUUGCAGAGGUACCCUAAGGAAUAAGGAACACUGAGUGACUUGAGAGGGUUUGUUGGAAAGGCAUUCUUGGAGAAGAAAAAGGAUUAUGUAUGUUUGCCUUGCAAUGGAGGGUGAAGGGUGACAUUUAUAGGAAUUAAUAACUAGUACUAUUCUUUCACUCUUGUCAGCAACCGUUGAAUGAUUUAAUAGUAAACUUUACGUGUUUUCUACUUCACAAGAGAUCUUCGACAGAUUGCCCGUAAUUUUCGCAAGGCUGAGUGUGCAUGUGAUAGGCGCUGACACGUCUGGAAAAGCAAGUGCCUCUCCGAUAUUUGGAAUCGACGCUUAGAUAAACUGCCCGUGAUUUCUGCAAAGUUGACUUUGCAUGUGACAGAUGCUGACACGUCUGGAAAAGCAAAUGCCUCUCCGAUAUCUGGAAUCGGCGCUUCGACAAACUGCCCGUGAUUUCCGCAAAGCUGACUCUGCAUGUGACAGAUGCUAACACGUCUAGAAAAGCAGAUGCCUCUUCGAUUUCUGAGCUUGCCUCUUCGAUCUCUGAAAUCCCGUCGAGUGCAGAGGUUGCAUGUGACAAGUGCGGACAAAUCUGGAAAGAAGAUUGGCCGUGGUUUCUGAGCAAGCCCAGCUUUUGAGAAAGCUAGCGCCUCUUCGAUUUUUGAGUUGGCCUCUUCGAUUUCUGAGCUCGCCUCUUCGAUCUCUGAAAUCCUGUCGAGUGCUGAUUUUUAUAGAGGUACGCAGGACGUUCAAAGCACACUUGAAUUUCUGCUUGUAGAAACUCCCUUCUUGCACUUCUACGAUCUUGACUUGUCCGACCUUAUCUUUCUUUAACACCUCUGAAAAUGUCUGGCCCAUCCGACCAUCGUUUUGACUUGAACCUUGGUGAAGAGGCAGUCCCGCCUUCUCCAGACAACAUAUGGUGCCCAUCUUUCAUAUAUUCUACUGGUCCCCUUACUGUUGGGGAUUCGGUGAUGAAGAAUGAUAUGACAGCUGCGGUGGUGGCCAAGAACCUUGUCACUCCUAAAGAUAACAGACUACUUGUCAAACGGUCUAAUGAGUUGGUUGUUAAGGAUUCUCUGGCUCUCAGUGUACAGUGUGCAGGUUUUGUGUCUAAUAUGGCCCAACGCCUCUUUGCUCGAACCCGUCAAGUUGAAUCAUUGGCGGCUGAAGUGAUGAGUCUCAAACAGGAGAUUAGAGGGCUCAAGCAUGAGAAUAAACAGUUGCACAGGCUUGCACAAACAGUUGCACAGGCUUGCACAUAACUAUGCUACAAACAUGAAGAGGAAGAUUGACUAGAUGCAGGAAUCUGAUGGUCAGAUUUUACUUGAUCAUCAGAGGUUUGUAGGUUUGUUCCAACAGCAUUUGCCUUCGUCUUCUGGGGCUGUACCGCUUAAUGAAGCUCCAAAUGAUCAACCUCUGAUGCUUCCUCCUUCUGGGGCUCCGCCGACUGCUGAGGCUCCGCCGACUACUGAGACUUCUCCUAAGCAGCCUUUGUGAAGGCUCCCUCUUGUAGCUUUUUUCUGCUUAAUGUUCCUUUUUUUUUAUGAAAAUGAAUGUAAAAAUACCUUGCAUAAUUGUCAGUGUUUUAAAAAUAAACUCACACAAAAAACAAUUAAACAAGCAACAAAUAAAAAUGAUAAUCAUGGAAAAUAAAACUGCAGAAAAGGGAAGGUUUUUAGAAACACAAAACUGAUUAUGGAGCGAUUCAAAAAUCUUCCUUAAUUGAAUACAUGGGUUGCCUCCCAAGAAGCGCUUGCUUUAACGUCUUCCAGCCGGACGAAACUUCCUUCUAAACUUGGAUAGGGCCCAUAACAUGGAAUUGAUCCUUGAAUGGACGGUGAUACUUGACGUGAUCCGGCAAUGGUUUAAAUUCUAGUGUAGGUGUCUGAAUCAUCAAAAUCAGCAAGUUAGUAUAUAAUAAAAUUGAAGUUGGAGAAGAUGGCUUAAUUGCUUGCUCCAACACAAACUCAAUUACGAACACCAUAUUUUUGAAGGUUGCAGGGAUAUGGGACUUGGCCAUUUGGUGUUUUGAGUGUUAUGACUUGUCCCGUGUCAUAAAAUCCAACUUCUUUAGGAAUUUUCAUCUCAAGUAUAUCUUCUUUGAUGAAUUCUAGACAUUCCCCAUCCACUUCUUGCUUUUGAUUAUUUGGAAAGGUUUUGAAGAUGACUUUCUCACCCUCUUCUUCCUUGGAUUGCAUGAUUCUGCAAGGAAUAAGGACAUUUGGUGAAACAGGGUCAAGACAAAUUGAAUUUAGGCUUACCUUGGUUGUAAUGGAAGGCAUAGAGGGCAUAUGGGGCUGCAGUAAAAGUGGUUCUUCCCUUGUCGUGGCCUUGUUAUUCUCCUCUUCUUCGAGCAGCAGUUGUUCAUCCAUGUUUUGGCUUGGUUUAGAUGUCUUGGGUUCACCUCCAACCUCCAUAGCACUUUCCAAAGUGAUAGCAUCAUGGAUUUCAAAAUCUUCCUUCAAAUUUUCAAUAGUUGAGUUGGAGAGUUCACUUUGCUCUUCAAUUUAUGCCAUGAACUCCAUAAUCUGCCCAAUUUGCUUCUCCAAUUCACCCGUCUUCUUGGCUUGAUUUUGCAUCUCUUUGUUUCCAUUUUCUACUUCCUUAUUCAAAGAGGUGAGUAACUUAUUAAACAUAUCAUUGUCCAAAGACGUACCUGAAUUGAAUUGGGUAGAUUGUUGUGGUGGCUGCAUAGGUCUUGAAUAUAACUCCUCUUCUUGCUGCCAAUACCCAUCUUGUUGGAAUUGUUGAGGUUCUCCCCACAUGUAAUCUGAAUAAUCUCUCCAAUCCGAAUUGUAAGUGUUGGAAAACAUGUUGUCCCAUGAUUGGCUAUGGCCUUGAUAACCCCAAGCAUCUUUAUUCGCAGCGAAUUGAGAACAUUGAUGAGUUGGAUAUCCUUGCCCAUAGGACACACCAUAUGUAGGGACACUUUGCAUUAUGGUCCCUUCGGCAUAUUGUGACAAUUGAGAAGUAAGUUUCGCCAAUUGAGCUUGAAUGGUAGCAAAAUCCAUGUCUUACUUCUCUAGUACCUGAAAUCAAGGAAACAAAACUAAAUCAAAUAUCAUAAGUAAAAAUAAAAGAAACAAAUAGAAACAAAGUCAGUAACUAAAACAAAAGACAUGAAAAAGAAACAACAGGGGAUUAGCAAAGUUGCUAAUCCCCGGCAACGGCGCCAAAAAUUUGAUGCGCAAAUUAACUUAACACACAAAUUAAACCCUCUUGUUGUCAAAUUGUAGUAUAAAUGCAAGUAGGGAUCGUUCUAAACCGGAGAUUAGGAGGGCUUGCUAAAACCUCUAAACUGACUUAAAAACAUAUAAACAAAAUUAAAAACACUAAACUAGACUCAAAGAACUUAAAACAAACUCAAAGGACUCAAAACAAGCUAAAAAUGCUCAAAUCUGCCUAAAAACACAAACUGGGCAGAUUUGGACUCUAACACACUUUUGGGACACCUAAAAACACAAAUCAAAACAGAUUUUGACUAAUAAAACACUUUAAAGUAAAGGGGGUUUUGGUUUUGAUGAAUUUGAAAACAAAACAAGUAAAUUAAAGAACUAAUGAAAUCUGCACGAAUUUGAGUAAAUUGAAUUGAUGGAAGGCUAGCUAGGAGGUUCUUCUCCACACAUGACAUACUUGCACAUAAACCAAUUUUCAGUUGUUCUUUCAAUCAAUCAUGAAACUCAACACCCCAGGUUAAUUAAGUCCGCUUAAAUUAACCUUCAAGUUCUCCUUAAGUUAUUGAAUUGGAUGGGAAAGCGCAUACAACAAUUCAAGCAUUCUUCAAAAGUUCUUUACGUGAACAGCACAAUAAAGAUACAAUCAAAGAUCAUUAAGCAUUAUGAAAACUAUAAGUAUUAACGAGGCAUUCGUUACUAUGAUGAGCAUGAAACUCCUGCCAAGAAUUUAUUUAACGCGAUCGUUUAUAAGCGACCUCCACUACUUAUGAAUAUAAGUUUGUAACUAUUAGGUGAAACUCCCUUAUACUCUAGCAUCAUAUUCAUGCAUGCAAACUAAGUGUGCACUCUUAAUAAACAUACAUGAAUAAGUUAUCAAUCAAGCAGUUAAACAAAUUGAAUUCACAACUUAUGAAAUCACAACUGAAGGUAAUCAAAUCAUAUUGCAAGCAUGCACAUGGUUUCGAAUUCCCCCUAGCUAAGGGGGGUUUAGUUCCUCAUACUCAUAAAGCAAAGAUAAACAAAUUUAGACAUUGAAAACAAAAGAAUGAAAACACCUAAAAACGCUCCAACAAUCCAACUUGAAUGGAAAACAUGUCCAAGGGUCCUCCUUCUUCUCUUUGUUGCGGCACAAGGUGUGGUUUGAUGGAUGAGUGGUAAAUUAU